rnacentral:rRNA from 1 species
ACUUAGAGUUUGAUCCUGGCUCAGAGCGAACGCUGGCGGCAGGCCUAACACAUGCAAGUCGAGCGCCCGUAGCAAUACGGGAGCGGCAGACGGGAGAGUAACACGUGGGAACGCGCCCUUCGGUUCGGAAUAACUCAGGGAAACUUGAGCUAAUACCGGAUACGCCCUUACGGGGAAAGAUUUAUUGCCGAAGGAACGGCCCGCGUCCGAUUAGCUUGUUGGUGAGGUAAUGGCUCACCAAGGCGACGAUCGGUAGCUGGUCUGAGAGGAUGACCAGCCUCACUGGGACUGAGACACGGCCCAGGCUCCUACGGGAGGCAGCAGUGGGGAAUAUUGGACAAUGGGCGCAAGCCUGAUCCAGCCAUGCCGCGUGGAUGAUGAAGGCCCUAGGGUUGUAAAGUCCUUUUAACGGGGAAGAUAAUGACGGUACCCGUAGAAUAAGCCCCGGCUAACUUCGUGCCAGCAGCCGCGGUACGCC